AAGAUCUAAGACUUUCUCUAUGUACACAAAAGGCCUAUUUCUAUCAAAUAUUAUUGACAAAUCUGUCUAAAUCUGUGUUAGUGAACAUUUCUCCUUUGCUGAGAUAAUCCAUCCACCUCACAGGUGUGGCAUAUCUGUCAUAUCUGAUUAGACAGCAUGAUUAUAGAACAGGUGUGCGUUAGGCUGGCCACAGAUUUGUGAACAAUAUUUGAGAGAAAUAGGGUUUUUGUGUACAUUGAAAAAGUCUUAGAUCUU